UGUAGGGACCUUUAGAUUCUCUUAUUACAGCAGGGGAAAGAACAGAACAUUGCUAAGUUUACAAGUUUAUUUACAGUCCGCAACUAUUGUCAUACACUUAGAACCCAUCGCAACUUAAACGAAAGCACCAUACAGUUCCCCCUGUUUCAAUGGCAGAAAAAAAUCAGUUUCAGCAUCCAAAUCUCAGGCAGAGUCCGUGUGAGUUCGAGUCACCCAAGAGCAAGGUGGAGAGUUCUUGAAGGGAGGGAGCCGAGGGUCUAUCGGAAACAAUCUCUCUACCCCAAGGUAUGGGUAAGGUCUGCGUAUAUAUUAUCCUCCUCAUACCCCACUAAUGAGAUCAUACUGGGUUGUUGUUGUUGUAGUCUGUCUUGCCAUAGAAUCCGACGUGCCAUAUCUUCACAAAUCAUUAUUUGUUUGUUUUUUCACCCAGAUCUUUGGUAUUUAUUUUGAUGUUCGACUAAUUCGAAUUCAUACAGUAAAAUCUCAUUUUGAAAGUAAAACAAUCUUUAUCAAAAAUAUUUUCAUACCAAGAGCGAAUUUGAGAUCAGAUGAGACUUCAAGAAUGAGUGUGGUUACUAAGGGAAGCGCUCCUCGCUAAAAGUGAUUCCUCCUUUUUACUAAGUGACCGCACUCAUUCUUGAGUCUCACCUUAUCCUUUUCCUCCACCGUAUAAUAAAAAUUCCACUUUUGACUCAAUAAUAUUGACUCACAAAUAAUAGACUUAGACCUAGAGAUGUUCAGAACCAACCUAGAGAUGUUCAGAACCAAUGAAGAUAGUAAUUACGUCUUUGUAGCUAUGUUCUAUUUUUCUCCAGCCAUUCAAGUUACUGUCCGAAAUCUCACUUAGUCAUGAUAGCACUUAACUCUUACAUGCUAGGUAAGUCAAACAAUGAUCACUAAAAUUAAAAUGUAAGAUCAUCACUAUCAAUAAAUAAUAAGGUAAAAUUUACACAAUUACCCCACGAAUUGAUAGUACAAGUCAUGAGCCACAAAAAUUUAAAUUUACAAAGCUGGUACAAAGAAUAAAUACAAUAUCUAUUUGAAUAUACAUAAACAAAAUACAAAUCCUAAACUACCAAGGAGAAGUGGUAGCCUAUAUCUGGAAUGCAGGUACAUCUUUAAUGCUAGACUUCGUCAUCCACAACAGCUCAGUUCCAAGAUUUGCACGCAAGGUACAGAAGUGUAGUAUGAGUACAACCGACCACUUGUACUUAAUCCAGGUAAUUCGGAUCGAGCUGAUCGUUAGGUGGUAUUCUAGAGCUUGCUGAAGACUUCAAGUCUUGCAGCUAUUGUCAAAGUUCCUAAUGCAAUUACCCGAUUUAAGGAGUGGAUCGAGAGGAUCUACAAGCUGAUGUCGUACUCCGAGAGCACAUGUCGCAAGAUUUCAAAGGGCAAAUGGGAGGCCCGUUCUCAUGGUUUUCCUAAGACCACCAAACUUAGGUCGUUGGAUGAGGACAAGGAUCCAUCCUCGCUUACUGAACCCUACAUUUUGAGCCAGCUCGAGGAUUCCACAAAGGAGGAGAAGAAAAAGAAUAAAAGAAAGUCCCCGGGUUCCCCGUAUGCCAAGGCGAAGAAGAAGAAAGUGAUUAUUCAGGUCCGGAAGCCCAAAAAGAACACCAAGUCCAGGGUACCGGACCCCGACAAUCUCUACCGGCUCAGGGACGAGCCCGAAGACGACGACCUCUUUAUUUCUCAUGGGUCGAAUCUUAAUGAGGGGGAGCAGGCGACGACCGAGAAAGAGGAUCAUGAGGUCGAUCCCCUUCUGACCCGGAGACCAGAAGGAGAGACGGAAGUUGCGGCCCCCAGGAAGUCGCUCCUGUCCCGAAGGAGGAACCCGGUGUCAUUGACAUCAUAGAGACACCCUCUUAUACCGAGUCCAUGAUCUAGAGGCCCAAGCAGGCAAGGAGAAGUCAAGCGAGGUGGCACAAGGCCCAAAUGAUGCCUUUAACACGUUCUUCGACGGCACUGGAGGACUUUUCUUGGCUUGGUUACUUGGAGGUCUCGAAGAAAGAUGCGCUAUCUGGAGCGAGCGGGCCGAGUUCGAGCCCAAAUAUAUUGAAGCAAUUCCCUACUCCGAGCGUGGACACCGAACACAAGAGAACGAUGAGUCUUACAAUCCCGUAGGAUACCCGGGUUGUGUCUGCUCCGCUGGGCAUAACCAGCUACCUUCGAUGCCUAGUGACCGAGGAGGACCAGUCAAAGAUGAACGGGGUGGGAAUGUUGAUCCUCUUACACGAGGCACAACAGGCGUUGAACUGGGUAGACAUCGGCCAUUUGCACCCCUUUUUGAAUCUCACUUUGGUUUUUGAUGUCCUCAACUAACUUCAUUGUUUUUCAGGAUUUGGUGCUUCACCGUGAAAGCUUUCUCUGGUACCGCUUAGAGAUCAUACAUCUUGAGUUCGAGCUCAAAGAGCAGGUCCAGAAGAAGGACAUGUACAGUGCUCUUAGUGAAAAGCAGGACGAGGCCCUCAAAGACCUCCCGAAUCUCCAGGCCGAGCUGGAAAAAGCUUAGAAGGAGGCCUCGACCCUGAAGCGGGAACACCCCGACCUGUUGAGAAGGUAAAGAUCUUUGAUGCUAAAAACGAGCAACUAGUCGUGGUUACUAACAACAUAACUUCGCAGGUCCAAGAAAAGAUAGACCUGAUCGACCAGCUUCGGGCCGAAAUGCAUGAGGUCAAAGCCACAACCGAAGUGUGGAAGGGAAAGAUAGACCUGCUGGUUUCGGUGAAGGAAGAUGUGAAAGCGGAGCUGGCAUAGGUCUAGAACCAACUUUGAGUGGUGAAGGAUAAAGCCGAUAAGUGGUCUUGGCUAAAUGAUGAUCUCCGGGCACGACUGAGCUCGGCCGUCACAGAACGGGAUGCUCUCGGACAAGAAUAUGCUGCCCUGAGGUCCAAAUUGGAUGCAACCACUAUUGAUGUCGAGGAAAUUGUGGCCCAGUAUAAGGCCGAUGUAGAGGUAGUCGAGACCCGCUUAAAGACGAAAGCUGAGUACAUAACGCGGCUAUGAGAGAGACCCUCGAAGAGAUCCAUGCCCGAGGUUUUGACUUAUCGGCCAAGAUUGAAGAAGCUAGAAGGCUCGAGGCCGAGGAUCUCUACGAGCCUGAGGAUCUCGAAGGCUCCGAGGUCUUCGACGGUUCUAGCGAUGAGUCGGGCCUCGGUGAAUACCGGGUGUAGAUGCCUUAGAAUUUUUCUAGUUUUUCCUUAUGUAUUCUUAUUUGUUUAUUUUGAGUCCGUUCUAUCAGGCCUCUAUAAAUAUAUUUUUGAUUUUAUAAAAUUUCCCCCCAUCUGGCAAUAUCGUGUCUUUAGUUUUCCAUCAUCUACUUGUAAUUUCUAUUUGCAUAUUGUUUUAUGCCUUCGGAGAAAAUCAGAUAUAGUUCUGGAGCGUCCAUUUUUCGGAGGUUCAAACGGAGCCCGACUUCGAUGCAACAUUAGUUUGCUCGUGGCUUCGAACCCUCGAUGAGACCGAAGGUUUUUAAGAUGCUUAAGUGUUUUUAGAUGAUAUUUUUGCCGAAGGUAACCUUUUAGUAGGUUUCGAUUUUUCGUAAGGGCGUUACUUUCUGGUUACGUACUUCGGAUGUCUCCGAUCCAUUUUUAGAGUGGGCGUAGCAUUUUAUAUUCAGGGAAAGCCUAGUGGGUUUGGUGCCUCCGAGAUUCGGUAGCCUGAGUCGUCUGAAUUUUUAUCGUGUGACAAUCCCCGAGUAGGGGUAGCUUGUGGGCUUGACAAUCCCCGAGCAGGGGUAGCCCGUGGGCUUUAGGAUCCAGGAUCGAAGAAGGAAAAUGCACAGUAAGGGAAGUAGAAAUUUCUUUCAUUGUUUAAUAUGCAAUGUACAUGAUCAAAGGCACAUAACACUUGUGUCGUGGCAAGAGUGGACUAUGUGGGCACGGUUCAUAUGACUGUUUGACCCUUAAAAUGAAUCCUAACCACUAAGUCUUAGCUUUAAACACAUAAAAUUUUCUUUUUUUCCCUUGGUAAAGAUCUUAACCCGGGGGUAAUAGCCCCCAAUAUUCGAGGUCGAACUCAUGAGGGCUCGAUACUGUUGAUCUUAUGCAAAUGACUAUCGAUUUUGGUUUAAAACCGGUCUUCAAAUCUAAGGUAUCACAUUUUAUUGUUGCCUCGUUAAAACCCUUGCCGAAAAACCAACUUCAGGACAAAACCGGUUCAAGGAAAAAAGAGUGUAACACGUGCUUUCAGACAUAUUAGCCACAUCAGUCCUUAGCUGAUUACCUGUAGUAUCACUUUAAGUAUGUCACGCUCUAGUUGCUUGGUAGUUAUACGCCGUUUCUCGCUUCGAGUUUAUAUGAGCCUCUGUCGGUUAUCCCGACAACUCGAUAUGGUCCUUCCUAAUUCGGGGCCAGUUUCUCUUCAUUCGAUUUCCUGGUGUGUAGUGUUACUCUCCUCAACACCCAGUCCCCGAUUUGAAAGAGUCGGAGGCUGGUUCUUUGGUUGUAAUACCUUUUUAUACACUGCUUUUGGACGGCCAACCGUACUAGGACAACCUCCAGCCCUUCAUCCAAUAGUUCCAGGCUCGUGAUCAUGGCCUCGCCAAUUGGUUCUUUGAUCACAUACUGGAACCUGAGGUUCGAUUCUCCCACCUCGACUUGUAUUAAGGUUUUAUCUCUGCAGACCCAAGAAAAUAUGGUGGCCCCAGUGUUCGAUUUCUAAAUAUUACGGUAUUCCCACAUGACUUUGGGCAGGAUCUCCUUCCAUUUCCCUUUCGCACCGGUCAAACUGUUUUUUAGGGUUUGAAGUAUAGUCUUGUUCGUUGAUUCUGCCUGCCCGUUCCCACUAGGGUGAUAAGGCGUUGAUAGUAUCUUCUUGAUCUUGUGAUCUUCGAAAAACUUACUCAACUUGCUGCCGAUGAAUUGUUUUCUGUUAUGGCAAACAAUAUCGGACGGUAUCCCAAAUCGACAUAUUAUGUGGUCUCAGAUGAAGUCAGUGACUUCUUUUUCCCGGACCUUUUUGAAUGCUUGAGCCUCAACCCAUUUGAAAAAAUAAUCGGUCAUGAAUAGUAUGAAUUGAGCUUUACCGGGUGCCCGUGGUAGGGAACCGACGAUGUCCAUUCCCCACUUCAUAAAUGGAUACGGGGACAAGAGCGAGUGGAGCAUUUCUCCCAGGUUGAUGGAUCAUCGGGGUAUGUCUUUGGCACUCAUCGCAUUUCCGUACGAAGUCCUUCACAUCCUUCUCCAUUUUGGUCCGUCGGCCCUAAUAAGUUUUUGAACCAAAGAUUUUGCCCCCGAAAGGUUCCUGCAAGUGUCUUCGUGAACCUCUCUCAUGGCAUAUUCGGUCUCUCCUGGUCCCAAGCAUCUGGAUAGUGGGUCGUCGAAGAUCCUCCUGAACAAUGCCCCUUCGACCAAGCUAAAUCUGGCAUCCUUGGUGUGCAAGGCUCUCGAUUCUUUGGUAUCCGAAGGCAAUUUUCCUACCUUCAAGUAGUCUAUGUAUUUGUUUCUCCAAUCCCAAGUUAAAAUCGUUGAGUUCACUUCAGCGUGGCCUUCUUCUCUCACCAGGUUACCCAAUGCAUCGGCUUUACUAUUUUGAUGUUGGGGUACAUGCUGCAGGGUCCAUUCCCUUAAUUGGUGUAGGGAUUACCUGCAGUUUGUCCGAGUAACUUCACAUCUGUUCUUCUUUUAUUUUGAACAUUCCUUUAACUUGAUUUACCACGAGGAGGGAGUCCCACAUGGCUUUGAUCACUUCGGCCCCAAGGCUUUUAGCCAAUUCUAAACCUAUAAUCAUGGCCUCAUACUCGACCUCAUUGUUAGUGAAUUUCACAAUUCUAAUAGACUGCCUAAUUAUAUUUUUCGUAGGUGGUUUUAAUACAAUACCGAGCCCGGACCCCUUCGCGUUGGAGGCACCGUCUGUGAAGAAGGUCCAGAUCCCCAAAGUAGUCCCCGAGGUUAGAAGUAGUUCCCCUUCGACUUCGGGUAUCAAGGCCGGCGUAAAAUCGGCCACGAAGUCUGCCAAAAUCUGAGAUUUUAUGGCGGUUCGGUGUCGAUAUUUGAUAUCGUACCCGCUAAUUUUUACGUCCCAUUUGACCAACUGGCCCGAGAGCUCGGGCUUGUACCCGAUAUUCCUAGGUGGAUAAGAGGUCACGACACAUAUGGGAUGACAUUGAAAGUACGACUUUAGCUUCCUGGAAGCGCUUAGCAAAGCGAGCUCCAAUUAUUUCAGGUGAGGAUUCCUUGAUUCGGCCUCACCAAGAGUUAUACUAAUAUAGUAAAUUGGAAAUUUCCCUCCCGGACAAAGACACCACUUACCGCCACCUCGUAAACCGCCAAGUAGAGGUACAACUGUUCAUCUUCCUUCUGAGUGUGCAACAGGGGUGGACUCGAGAGGUACUAUUUGAGUUAUUCCAAAGCUUGAUGGCAUUCCGGGGUCCAGGAAAUGUUAUUCUUCUUCUUUAAUAGUGAGACGAAUCGAUGGCUCUUGUCCGAGGACCUCGAGAUGAACAGGCCCAAGGAGGCUAUACGCCAAGUUAGUCUUUGAACAGACUUGACGUUAUCCACCAUAGUGAUGUCCUCUAUGACAUUUAUUUUGUCAAGGUUGAUCUUGAUCCCUCGAUUGGAUACUAUGAACCCGAGGAAUUUGCCUGAUCCGACCUCGAAUGUUCACUUCUCCGAGUUUAGCUUCAUAUUAUAUUUCUUCAGUAUGUUGAAGGUCCUGCAAAUGUUUCAAAUGGUCCUCUGCUUGCAGGGACUUGACCAACAUAUCGUCAAUAUAAACUUUCAUUGAAUUCCCUAUUUGUUCUUCGAACAUCCAGUUCACUAGGCGUUAGUAGGUGACACCGACAUUCUUUAAUCCAAAUGGCAUUACGUUAUAGUAGUAGGUGCCGAAUUUAUUGAUGAAAGAAGUUUUUUCUUGGUCGUCUGGGUCCAUCCGAAUUUGGUUGUACCCGAAGUAGGCAUCGAGAAAACUGAGUAUCUUGUGUCUGGUCGUCAUGUCAAUCAUUAGAUCGAUGUCAAGCAAAUGGAAAGAAUCCUUAGGGCAUGCUUUGUUCAUGUCUUUCUAAUCUACACACAUCCUUAGCUUAUUCCCCUUGUUAGGCACUACCACUAUGUUAGCUAACCAGUCGGGGUAUUUAACUUCCCGAAUGGAUCCUAUUUUAAGAAGUUUGGAUACCUCAUCCUUGAUGAAUGCAUGUUUGACCUCGGAUUGUGGCCUCCUCUUAUGCUUGACCGGAUAGAACUUCGGAUCCAAACUCAGCUUAUGAGUGGUUAACCUCGUGCGCAGGUAUACGUUAGCUUUAAGAAAAUCAAUAAGUUUUUUCUUGAGCUCGGGGAUUAACCUCGUGUGCAGGUAUACCUUUCGGUCUGGUAGGUGUUCGAUUAAUAUGACUUGCUCCAACUCUUCAACCGUUGAUUUGGUAGCGUCAGUGUCGUCAGGAGCUAUGAAUGAUCUCGGUACAUCAUAAUUAUCCUCCUCAUCUGUUCCUCGUUCCUCCGGUUCGGCUGAGGCCCGCAUCAGUGAUUGCGAUUUAAUUUCUUCCUUUUUGGUCAACUCUGCGUUCCUUGAUGUUGAAACCGCGGGCACCGGGAUUACCUUGUCGACAUCGAACAUCUCCUUUGUGGUCAACUGCUCUCCGUAAACCAUCUUGACUCCUCCCGGUGUAGGGAAUUUCAACGCCUGAUGCAAGGUAGAGGAUACCGCCCUCAUGUUGUGAACCCAUGCCCUUCCGAAUAGAGUGUUAUACCUCAUGUCCCCUUCGAUCACGUAGAACUUUGUCUCUUGGGUCAUCCCAGCGGUGUUUACUGGCAGGGUUAUAUCCCCUUUAGUGGUUUGCCAUGUUAAAUCUGUUCAACAUCCGGAAUGCUGGAAUGAUUAGGUCCUGUAACCCCAAUUGCUCUAUGACACUUGAUCUAAUGAUGUUGGCCAAGCUACCUGGAUCAAUCGGCACGUAUUUGACUCGAGAUUUAUUGAUAAGUACGGAUAUUACCAGCACAUCAUUGUAAGUUUGCACGAUGCCCUCAGCAUCCUCGUUGCUGAACGAAAUGGUUCCCGCCGGGACAUAAUCCCGGGUGAAUAUUUCCCUUGUGAUAGAUACUCUAGUGCAUUUUAUCAUUGGUCCUUGGGGGACAUCGACUCCUCCGAUGAUCAUAUUGAUGAUGUACUGAGGCUCCUCUUGUUCUACCUGUUUGUUGACGUCUCUGUUCCUGCAAUGGUUUUUGGCUCGAUCACUCAUAAAUUCUCUGAGGUGCCCAUUGUUGAAUAACCGGGCAAUAUCUUCUCUCAACUAUCGGCAAUCCUCUGUCAUGUGACCAUGAGUGCCGUGAUACUUACACAUCAAGUUAGGAUCUCUUUGGUUAGGGUCGGACUGCAAUGGUCGAGGUCACUUGGUCUCUUUGAUACACCUGAUGGCUGACACGAUACUGGAAGCAUCAACGUUGAAGUUAUACUUCGAUAAUCUCGGUGCUUCCCUACCUCGAGCGGUCUAUCAAAACCAGUUUUGCUCAUGAGACCUCGGUUACUAGGCCCUCGAUCGUCUCUCUUCUCGUUCCUUGUGGGGAGAUGCCCAGACAUAUUUUCCCUUCGGUCCGUGCUGUAUGGUUGGUACCGAUCCCAGACCGAUCUUGGCAUAUGAUCAACGACUCUCUUAGACCUAUCACCGGCCCUGACUAGGUAAACAAACCCAGAAGGAGCUCCGAGUUGGUCGUCAUCGACCAUGAUCUUUGACUGGUACCUGUUGUGGACACCAUGAUUUUUGACGGGUACCUGUUGUGGACAUCGGCCCAAGUCACCACCGAGUACUCUACCAAAUUUUGUUUUAGCUGUUGAGAGGCCAAGGAACUUCGUGGCUUAAGCUCUUGAUUGAAUGCCUGAAUGACCCAAUCAUUUAUAACCGGAGGCAGGUCCAUCCGUUCCAUCUGGAACCUUGACACGAACUCUCUGAGCAUCUCGUUAUC